rnacentral:rRNA from 1 species
UACGGGGGGGGCAAGCGUUGUUCGGAAUUACUGGGCGUAAAGGGCUCGUAGGCGGCCAACUCAGUCGGACGUGAAAUCCCUCGGCUUAACCGGGGAACUGCGUCCGAUACUGGAUGGCUUGAGUGUGGGAGAGGGAUGCGGAAUUCCAGGUGUAGCGGUGAAAUGCGUAGAUAUCAGGAGGAACACCAAUGGCGAAGGCAGCUCGCUGGGACGUGACUGACGCUGAGACGCGAAAGCGUGGGGAGCAAACAGG